UGAGCAAUCUGCCCUUCUCUUCGGAAUAAGCGUUGGAAACGACGUCUAAUGCCGAAUACGACCUCCUUUCGCAUGAUCGGAGGUGGAAAGCUCCGGCGGAGAAGGAUGAGCUCGCGGCCUAUCAGCUAGUUGGUGUGGGUAAUGGCCCACAAGGCGACGACGGGUAGCCGGCCUGGAGGAGGGCGACCCGGCCACACGUGGGACUGAGAUACCGGCCCAGACCUCCGUACGGGAGGNAGCG
rnacentral:rRNA from 1 species